AGCUUGGCGCAGUGGUGAUAUCGUUACCAAUGAGGUUUCACCGAAGUGCCAAAAUUACUAGUUGAACAAACCUAUUUAAUAGUGUAUCAGGUUUUCUACAAGAAAUUUGGAACGUUUUGACGUAGGACUACGUCU